UGGUCAAGAAUCUUUAUUUCAAAUACUACAAAUCAACUAUACUAAAUUAGCUGAGGUGAGAAUGGUUCUAUCUAUUUUUUUAUCGUUAUUUACAUGUAUUUUCAAAUAAUCUUGGAAAAAGGCCCAGAAUUUAUUAGUUGCUUUAGGCCUCUAAAAAGCUUGAGCCGACCCUGCAAAGAAUACACACGUUGAAGGCCACCCGACUAACACACGGGGUCAUGUUUGUUGAUGGAAAGAAACCAGAAAUAACUGAAAGAUGCACGCAAAUAACGUGGCAAGUGGUGCACUUGAAACUUGGCACAAAGGUGGGUAUCACUAAGCCAUCUACCAGGAAGAAUAACAUUUGUAGUAUGUGUUUUGUUUUCCUUCUUAUUCAAUGAACUUUUAAAAACAAAUGUAUAUUCUUUUAGGCCGACUCAGUAAUAUCUACACUUUGCUUUCAGUUAUAAAAAUGUUUUAAAUACCGUGAUAAUGAUUUUGGUUGCAGGAUAGAACAUCGAGCACUAUGCAUCUGGGUUAGGCGAGGGUUAAAAGCUACAACAUUAAAAUAUAUUGGCAAGGGUUAAUAAGUCCUUAUCCAAGAUGAUUUACAAAACGAUUACCAAGUUUCUUAGGGAUUGAUUUGUGUAAUUACUUAUUGCAUAUUAGGCAACUUAUAUGUAUAUUUUAGCAUAUAUAAAUCUAAUUUUAAGUUGAUACACCAUGAGUUUUCAUAUAUUCAAGCGCAAAAUAUAGUGGUAUGUUGUGAUUUAGUUCCGACAUGCUUCAUCAAUGCUUUA